rnacentral:rRNA from 1 species
UUGCCUACGGGAGGCAGCAGUGAGGAAUAUUGGUCAAUGGGAGAGAUCCUGAACCAGCCAAGCCGCGUGAGGGAAGACGGCCCUAUGGGUUGUAAACCUCUUUUGUCGGAGAACAAAACCCGGGACGUGUCCCGGACUGCGUGUAUCCGAAGAAAAAGCAUCGGCUAACUCCGUGCCAGCAGCCGCGGUAAUACGGAGGAUGCGAGCGUUAUCCGGAUUUAUUGGGUUUAAAGGGUGCGUAGGCGGACAGUCAAGUCAGCGGUAAAAAUGCGGUGCUCAACGCCGUACAGCCGUUGAAACUGGCG